AGGGUGUCCGGCCACACUGGGACUGAGAUACGGCCCAGACUCCUACGGGAGGCAGCAGUGGGGAAUAUUGCACAAUGGGCGCAAGCCUGAUGCAGCGACGCCGCGUGGGGGAUGACGGCCUUCGGGUUGUAAACCUCUUUCACCAUCGACGAA
rnacentral:rRNA from 1 species